rnacentral:rRNA from 1 species
CCUCCGCAUCCUAAUUGCAGUCGUCGAGAAUCGGCUUCGGCCGAUGAGUAAAGUGGCGCACGGGUGAGUAACGCGUGGAUAAUCUGCCCUCUGGUCAGGGAUAACCAAUCGAAAGGUUGGCUAAUACCCGAUCAUACUCUUGCACUGCGGUGCAAUAGUUAAAGAUGGCCUCUGUAUACAAGCUAUCGCCGGAGGAUGAGUCCGCGUACCAUUAGCUAGUUGGCAGGGUAAUGGCCUACCAAGGCGAUGAUGGUUAGCUGGUCUGAGAGGAUGGCCAGCCACACUGGAACUGAGACACGGUCCAGACUCCUACGGGAGGCAGCAGUGAGGAAUCUUGCGCAAUGGGGGAAACCCUGACGCAGCAACGCCGCGUGAGUGAGGAAGGCCUUCGGGUCGUAAAGCUCUGUCAGGUGGGAAGAAAUCGAUGAAGGCGAAUAUCCUCCAUCUUUGACGGUACCACCAGAGGAAGCACCGGCCAACUCCGUGCCAGCAGCCGCGGUAAUACGGGGGGUGCAAGCGUUGUUCGGAAUCAUUGGGCGUAAAGAGCGUGUAGGCGGCCGGGUAAGUCAGAUGUGAAAGCUCUGGGCUCAACCCAGGAAGUGCAUUUGAAACUGCUUGGCUAGAGUAAGGGAGAGGAAAGUGGAAUUCCUGGUGUAGAGGUGAAAUUCGUAGAUAUCAGGAGGAACACCGGUGGCGAAGGCGACUUUCUGGCCCUAUACUGACGCUCAGGCGCGAAAGCGUGGGUAGCAAACAGGAUUAGAUACCCUGGUAGUCCACGCUCUAAACGGUGGGCAUUAGGUGUAGGGCUCGUAAGGGUUCUGUGCCGAAGGGAAACCAUUAAAUGCCCCGCCUGGGGAGUACGGCCGCAAGAUUG